AUUCUCUCCCCUCUCCCCUCCCAGCUCUACUGGCUUGGGACAAAGAUAGUCUCUACUCCUUUGCAACCGCAUCUUAAAUUUUGGCACUGGAACCUAGGCUGGGUACCAGGCAGCCAGGGAGUUGCAAACUUUGGGGAAGAAGUGAGAACAAGAGGAGCAGGGAAGAAGGGGAACAUGGGAACACGGAUGAGAAAGCUGGAUCUGGCCCUCUGAGAAAACAGCCCCGUGUGGAGCCAGGACUUUGGUUUCUCAUGACCUUUCUCCUCAAGCCGAGGCUUCAGAUUAUAACUAGGAUGAACAAAGACUUUAAAAUCGUGUAUGUCUCCUGUUUAUGGAGAAAAAGCUUCUAUGGGGCCACCCGCGCAGAGUGCGCAAAACGUCAAGAAUUUACUUGGCUGGUAAAAACGUGACUAGAAACUUGGGAAUUUUCCUGGGCUAACCGCAGCCUGACUUCUGGUGGUAACACUAACCUUCCUUCCUCUGCCAGAAUCCCUGGGUCCGUCUGGCGAGGGCCCCAUCUCUUAGGUGGAAGGGAAGGCAGGUGAGCGUAUGAGCAGGUGUCACCACCUAGAGUUUGAACUGAACUCUUGAAAGUCAAGUUGGGAUAGGUCUGAGGCGUCGCCAGACGCCUUGAAAUAUCAUCCAGUGAAAGUGUGCAAACGACACAGAUGAAGAGUCACUGGACAGCGGAGUUUGCACCUGGGGCUCGGUGGCUUCUCAGCUGUGACAAACCCCUGGAAUAGGUGUUUCCCGGAAGAUCUCACGAAGGCUCCGCCCCGCGUGGUCCUUACGUGGGCUGGAGUCCUGAGUAGAACUUAUCCUAACCAGGUACCAAAAGCAGCUAAGAAGUAAUGGGGGGGGGGGAGGGGGUAAGGGGUGUCUAAAAGCGAAGCGGAAGUUUCAAGGCCUCUAAGAGGGAUAACAGUAUAAAUAACCGAGGGCGUCUUGUAAACACUGCGGUCAUAACCCCGAACAUUAAACAGCCGCGGUGGCAUCUGGCA
rnacentral:lncRNA from 1 species